UACGUAGGGGGCGAGCGUUGUCCGGAUUCAUUGGGCGUAAAGGGCUCGUAGGCGGUCUGUCACGUCGGGAGUGAAAACACGGGGCUUAACCCCGUGCCUGCUUCCGAUACGGGCAGACUAGAGGUAUGCAGGGGAGAACGGAAUUCCUGGUGUAGCGGUGAAAUGCGCAGAUAUCAGGAGGAACACCGGUGGCGAAGGCGGUUCUCUGGGCAUUACCUGACGCUGAGGAGCGAAAGUGUGGGGAGCGAACAGG
rnacentral:rRNA from 1 species